rnacentral:rRNA from 1 species
GUGCCAGCAGCCGCGGUAAGACGAACCGUGCGAACGUUGUUCGGAAUCACUGGGCUUAAAGGGCGCGUAGGCGGGUUUGCAAGUCUGCGGUGAAAGCCUCCAGCUCAACUGGAGAAGUGCCGUGGAUACUGCGAAUCUCGAGGAGGGUAGGGGCGUCUGGAACGUUGGGUGGAGCGGUGAAAUGCGUUGAUAUCCAACGGAACUCCGGUGGCGAAGGCGAGGCGCUGGACCCUUUCUGACGCUGAGGCGCGAAAGCCAGGGGAGCGAACGGGAUUAGAUACCCUGGUAGUCC